rnacentral:tRNA from 1 species
GGUUUGUGGCUUAGUGGUAGAGCACUCGCCUAACAUGUGAGGCACUGGGUUCGAUCCUCAGCACCA